AAUGGGCGAAAGCCUGAUGCAGCGACGCCGCGUGAGGGAUGAAGGCCUUCGGGUUGUAAACCUCUUUCAGUAGGGAAGAAGCGCAAGCGACGGUACCUACAGAAGAAGCACCGGCUAACUACGUGCCAGCAGCCGCGGUAAUACGUAGGGUGCGAGCGUUGUCCGGAAUUAUUGGGCGUAAAGAGCUUGUAGGCGGUUUGUCGCGUCUGCCGUGAAAAUCCGGGGCUCAACUCCGGACUUGCGGUGGGUACGGGCAGACUAGAGUGUGGUAGGGGAGACUGGAAUUCCUGGUGUAGCGGUGAAAUGCGCAGAUAUCAGGAGGAACACCGAUGGCGAAGGCAGGUCUCUGGGCCACUACUGACGCUGAGAAGCGAAAGCGUGGGGAGCGAA
rnacentral:rRNA from 1 species